UUGGGCNUACNCAUGCAAGUCGAGGGGCAUCACAUGAGGUAGCAAUACUGAUGGUGGCGACCGGCGCACGGGUGAGUAACACGUAUGCAACCUACCUUCCACACGGGGAUAACCCGGAGAAAUCCGGACUAAUACCCGAUAAUACAGGGGUCCCGCAUGGGAAUAUUUGUUAAAGAUUUAUUGGUAGAAGAUGGGCAUGCGUUCCAUUAGUUAGUUGGUGAGGUAACGGCUCACCAAGGCGACGAUGGAUAGGGGAACUGAGAGGUUUAUCCCCCACACUGGAACUGAGACACGGUCCAGACUCCUACGGGAGGCAGCAGUGAGGAAUAUUGGUCAAUGGAGGCAACUCUGAACCAGCCAAGUCGCGUGAAGGAUGAAGGUCUUAUGGAUUGUAAACUUCUUUUAUACAGGAAUAAAUUGAGUCACGUGUGGCUUUUUGCAUGUACUGUAUGAAUAAGGAUCGGCUAACUCCGUGCCAGCAGCCGCGGUAAUACGGAGGAUCCGAGCGUUAUCCGGAUUUAUUGGGUUUAAAGGGUGCGCAGGCGGGAUGUUAAGUCGGCGGUGAAAUUUUGCGGCUCAACCGUAAAAGUGCCUUCGAAACUGGCAUUCUUGAGUAUGGAUGAAGUAGGCGGAAUUCUGUGGUGUAGCGGUGAAAUGCUUAGAUAUCACGAGGAACUCCGAUUGCGCAGGCAGCUUACUAAACCCAUAACUGACGCUCAUGCACGAAGGCGUGGGGAUCAAACAGGAAUUAGAUACCCCUGGUAGUCCACGCAGUAAACGAUGAUUACUAAUUGUUUUGCGAUACAUAGUAAAGCGACUGAGCGAAUGCAUU
rnacentral:rRNA from 1 species